UACGUAGGCAGCAAGCGUUGUUCGGAGUUACUGGGCGUAAAGGGUGUGUAGGCGGCCUGUUAAGUUCCGUGUGAAAUCUCCCGGCUCAACCGGGAGGGUGCGCGGAAAACUGGCGGGCUAGAGUCCGGAAGAGGAGAAUGGAAUUCCCGGUGUAGCGGUGAAAUGCGCAGAUAUCGGGAAGAACACCCGUGGCGAAGGCGGUUCUCUGGGACGGUACUGACGCUGAGACGCGAAAGCGUGGGGAGCGAACAGG
rnacentral:rRNA from 1 species